GUGCUUGCUUCAGCAGCCCAUAUACUGAAAUGGGGACGAGACAGAGAUGAUGAGCAUGGCCCCUGUGCAAGGAUGACACACGAAUUUGUGAGGCAUUUCAUAUCAGA
ensembl:snRNA U6 U6 spliceosomal RNA